rnacentral:piRNA from 1 species
UGACUCUUUGCCAAACAUAAAUUGACCUC